rnacentral:lncRNA from 1 species
UAAAUUUUUUCACUUUAGAGCCGAGCAAUGGUGGCACACGCCUUUAGUCCCAGCACUUGGGAGGCAGAGACAGGCAGAUUUCUGAGUUCGAGGCCAGCCUACAACUGAGUGAGUUCCAGGACAGCCAGGGCUACACUGAGAAACCUGUCUUGAAAAAAAUUAAUUAAUUAAUUAAUUAAAAUUUUUUUUCACUUUAAAAGAGAGUGCUUUUUCUACUUCCAAAAAAAUUUUGCCCAAGGGAGACACUACCUAGAGUAUAUAUUUAAAACAAAAACAAAACCAAAAACCCACAAAAAGCAAAAAACCUAACAACUAAUCAAUGGGAAAUGCCCGGUGUCCUGCCAUCGAGGCGAGGUUAUGCUUAUGUCUUCCAGAAAAUGAAGUCCCAGAUGGCUCCUGCUGUGACAUUUCAGACAAGGACUGCAUCCCAGAGACCACCAGACAAGCAAGGGGUUGAAGCUAGACGACAAACCCAUCAAGAGGAGACGUCCCAAGAGGACAAGGAAGCCAAUAACGUGGAGAGACUUAACUGGUCAAGCCAAGACUUUGGGGAAGCAAGAAGGACCUGAUACUGCUGACCCCAAAAUGAUGCUGUUAUGUUUACUGACUGUAUUUCAUGUUGAUUCUCAGCCUGUCGGUGCAGAAUCCAAAUGCCUUUUGUCAAAAGGAGGGAUAAAGGGUGCACCUGUAAUAGGACACAGUAUAACAUUGUAUUGCUGUGCUAAUCAUUGUUUUUAUUCUUUGGGACCAGCUGUCCAGGCAAAAAGAAGAGUAUCCAAACAUUUAGACACAUGAAUGGGUGGCAGCUUGGUUAGACUAACUGAGUCGUUCAAAUGUAAUAAUACAGAUUUUAGCUUAAUGCAGAACUCUUUAGAAAGCUCAGAUGGAAGAAAUUAUAGUUGUAUGGAAAUGAGAAAGGGAAUAAGUGAUGUAUGGCUUGCUACGAUUCAACCAACACCAGUUACUAAGUAGGGUUGAGUGGGGCUGCCUUCUUGUCUCCAGGCGAAUCAUUACAUUAGUCUGCUGGCCUUGGUGGAGGAAGUAUGCCACUGAGGGAGGGGAGAGCCUUGAGAGUUUAAAAGCCUCGCCUUGCUUCCAGUGUAGUCUCUGCUCUAAGCUUGACCUUCAAGGUGUGAUUGCUCAGUUUCAUGCCCCUGCCACCAUGCCUGCUGUGUGCUCUCAUGCCUUACCGCUGUAAUGGACUCACCUCUCUUCUGGAACCACAAAAUAAACACUGUCUUCCUU